UACGAAGGGGGCUAGCGUUGCUCGGAAUCACUGGGCGUAAAGCGCACGUAGGCGGCUUUUUAAGUCAGGGGUGAAAUCCUGGAGCUCAACUCCAGAACUGCCUUUGAUACUGAGAAGCUUGAGUCCGGGAGAGGUGAGUGGAACUGCGAGUGUAGAGGUGAAAUUCGUAGAUAUUCGCAAGAACACCAGUGGCGAAGGCGGGUCUCUGGGCCGAUACUGACGCUGAGGAGCGGAAGCGUGGGGAGCGAACAGG
rnacentral:rRNA from 1 species